AGUGAACGCUGGCGGCGUGCUUAACACAUGCAAGUCGAACGAGAACGGAUUAUAGCUUGCUAUAAUUGUCAGCUAAGUGGCGCACGGGUGAGUAAUAUAUAGAUAACCUGCCCUCUAGAAAGGAAUAACAGUUGGAAACGACUGCUAAUGCCCUAUAUGCCUUUAAUACAUAAGUAUGCAAGGGAAACGCUUUAGUGCUAGAGGAUGGGUCUGUAUGGUAUCAGCUUGUUGGUGAGGUAAUGGCUCACCAAGGCUAUGACGCCUAACUGGUUUUAGAGGAUGAUCAGUCACACUUGAACUGAGACACGGUCCAGACUCCUACGGGAGGCAGCAGUGGGGAAUAUUGCACAAUGGACGAAAGUCUGAUGCAGCAACGCCGCGUGGAGGAUGACACAUUUCGGUGCGUAAACUCCUUUUAUAUAGGAAGAUAAUGACGGUACUAUAUGAAUAAGCACCGGCUAACUCCGUGCCAGCCGCCGCAGUAACAC
rnacentral:rRNA from 1 species